UACGUAGGGUGCGAGCGUUGUCCGGAAUACUGGGCGUAAAGCGUGCGCAGGCGGUUAUGUAAGACAGUUGUGAAAUCCCCGGGCUCAACCUGGGAAUUGCAUCUGUGACUGCAUAGCUAGAGUACGGUAGAGGGGGAUGGAAUUCCGCGUGUAGCAGUGAAAUGCGUAGAUAUGCGGAGGAACACCGAUGGCGAAGGCAAUCCCCUGGACCUGUACUGACGCUCAUGCACGAAAGCGUGGGGAGCAAACAGG
rnacentral:rRNA from 1 species